GAAAGCCUGUUUUCUCCACCCUUCUUCUUCAUGAAUCUCAUUCUUAGGGUUCAUCGUCCCUGCGUAAAUUUGGUUGUGUGCCAUCCAUGGCGGUUCUGAAAAGGCGUGUGACCUCCUCUAUAAACGUCAAGUCAGUGCCUGUUCAUGUCUUUUCGGUCUCUCUUCUUAAUCUCUGAACGGUUACAAAUCUAAUUGAUUGAACGUCAUUAACAAAAUCUUUACUCUUCAUGUCCACUACAACCACAAUCGUGCAUUCAAUGAUUCUUAUCAUUCAUCCAGGCGGUGAUUAUCACCUAUAAAAAAUACUUCUCACCUCUCCCAGGACCGGAAUAACUCUUCAGUACUUCUCCCCUCUACAUCCAUCCCUUAAUGUCGUCGGGUUUGAUUUGAAGACCGGCCGGUGUUCUUCCACAGUGGAGGUGCGGCUGCUCAGAUUUGUCUGACUUUGAGGUUUUUUGCUGUUGUGGUAGCAAAUAUAAUCUGUUUGGUUCUAAUAUGGUUUGUAUGUAACUCAGUUUUCAUAUAAUUGCUCUGACAAAAUGUGUCAUGAACUUAUUGUCUUGAGCUACCUUUCUAAUUAUUUUUAGAUCACCGAAGUAAUUACGGAGCAAUGGGUUCAGGCUCAGCAGCUUGAACAGGUCUUUAGUUUUUGCUUUAAAGUUUGUCGUUCAAUGCAAUUGGAUUUUGUGAGUUGUGAUAAGUAGUUUUAACCGUAGUACUCACUCAUUACCAAAGUUGAUCAUUUUGUUUUUCCCUACUGCACCUUGGAGAAUUCAGUGGUCGUACUUAAAGUCUAAAAGCUUUUACCGUAGCUUAAUCAUCUUAUAAGUCUCUCAUUACGUAUAUCUCUAUUUAGCUCAUUAUUGACAUCCAAGGAAAACAUUUGCCCAAAGUUCAAGAAGCAUUUGACGUUCAUUGGGAUGGAAAGAAGGCUUCUCUCUUUGUGCAAUCAUAUCUCACAUAAGCCCUGUCUCACUAAAAUAGCUUCUGGGUUGCUGUUACUAGACACCACCACCAGUUGCAAGGGUUCAUCAAACAUGAGAUGGGAAGAACCGAGAUCACACAUGGGUAAAAUAUCUUAUAUGCUUUUUUAUUUGAUAAAAUGUAAAUUAUAUUAUCAGAAGUAAAUGUUUGUUACAAGCUAGGUGCAGAGAGCUUCGUUGGUAAAAAAGAAGAGGAAGCUAAACGUGAAAAUCAGUAUGAGAAACUUGGAUUAGCUAUAAACUGAAAGGAGACUGGCACAUCCUUUGUUGAACCUUUGUGAAGGAUGUUCCGGGUGAGCCUGUCAAUGUGAGCAAAGGUAGUACCAUGAGGUUUAGCAACACAUGAGUGUAACCUGUUUUUCCUCUCUUUCCAGAGAAGAUAAGAAUGUUCCUUGAGUGACCAGUUUUCUUAAUAACAAACAAGAUCACCCUUCUGUUGGAGAGAAGGGAGCCAGCGAUCAAUAUUCUUUAAAAUUUGUUUAGUUAACAUUAUUGC